CAUUAAGAAGCUUUCAUGUAUAAGCAAUAG
rnacentral:tRNA from 1 species